rnacentral:rRNA from 1 species
CCUACGGGCGGCAGCAGUGGGGAAUAUUGCACAAUGGGGGAAACCCUGAUGCAGCGACGCCGCGUGAGUGAAGAAGUAUUUCGGUACGUAAGCCCUAUCACCAGGAAAGAAAAUACGGGUCCCUGCCUAGAAAGCCCCGGCUAACUACGUGCAAGCAGCGGCGGGAAUAAGUAGGGGGAAAGCGUUAUCCGGUUUUACUGGGUGUAAAGGGGGCGUAGACGGCAGGGCAUGUCUGGAGUGAAAUCCCAUGGCUUAACCAUGGAACUGCUUUGGAAACUGUGCAGCGGGAGUGCAGGAGAGGUAAGCGGAAUUCCUAGUGUAGCGGUGAAAUGCGUAGAUAUUAGGAGGAACACCAGUGGCGAAGGCGGCUUACUGGACUGUAACUGACGUUGAGGCUCGAAAGCGUGGGGAGCAAACAGGAUUAGAUACCCCGGUAGUC